GGCUGAAAUCCCUCGCUCUCUCCUCUCGGUCUCCAGACGUUCUCUCUUCCUCUCCAGACGCACUCUUGCUCUCUCGUCUGAAUCCCAGAUCCGCCCUCCCUCUGUUCUUGGAAAAUAUUAUUCUUCUUCCCAGAUAUAGCUCCUCGCGAGCAUGUCAGCCUCAGACGUUUGGAUUGCUGUGGCCCGAUCUCAACGACAGAUUGUUCUACAACGACGUCAACUGACACUGAUCGAGUUCUACUCUAGCAAGUACAAUAAUUCAGCUCCAUUGCAAGGGUAAUCAGCUUAUACCAAAUUGCAUUCCAACAAUUUAAAUUAAUUUGAUUUAUUUACUGAUUUAUUUUUGCACUUUAAGCAAUAAAAAAAUGUUUAAUUUGAAGAACAGAUGAAAACUUUGUACUGAUAAUUGA
rnacentral:sRNA from 1 species